ensembl:lincRNA
AUCAGAGACUCUUGUCUUGGCGUCCUUCCUUUCUCUCUGCCCCAUCUCCACCCCGCUGCUCUUUCAGGUUUGAGGCACUGCUGGACAGUGCUCUGCGUCGCCGGCUCGCGACAGCUCAGCACUUCAGGACUUUCAGGAUCAAAGGCCUAAAAAGCACUUUUGCUGCCACGCCCCGAGCCUUCCCAGGAAGAGCAAAGAGCAGGAACCUCUGAAACUCCCAGACCUCCGGGCCUCACAGCUCCGCGGCCCAGGGAGGGCACCCCACCCCGACACCGUCCGCGCUUCCGCCUCCUGCGC